GACGAACGCUGGCGGCGUGCCUAAUACAUGCAAGUCGAGCGAGUCUGCCUUGAAGAUCGGAGUGCUUGCACUCUGUGAAACAAGAUACAGGCUAGCGGCGGACGGGUGAGUAACACGUGGGUAACCUGCCCAAGAGAUCGGGAUAACACCUGGAAACAGAUGCUAAUACCGGAUAACAACAGAUGAUGCCUAUCAACUGUUUAAAAGAUGGUUCUGCUACCACUCUUGGAUGGACCUGCGGUGCAUUAGCUAGUUGGUAGGGUAACGGCCUACCAAGGCGAUGAUGCAUAGCCGAGUUGAGAGACUGAUCGGCCACAUUGGGACUGAGACACGGCCCAAACUCCUACGGGAGGCAGCAGUAGGGAAUCUUCCACAAUGGACGCAAGUCUGAUGGAGCAACGCCGCGUGAGUGAAGAAGGGUUUCGGCUCGUAAAGCUCUGUUGUUGGUGAAGAAGGACAGGGGUAGUAACUGACCUUUGUUUGACGGUAAUCAAUGAGAAAGUCACGGCUAACUAAGUG
rnacentral:rRNA from 1 species